CCUACGGGAGGCAGCAGUGAGGAAUAUUGGUCAAUGGACGAGAGUCUGAACCAGCCAAGUAGCGUGAAGGAUGACUGCCCUAUGGGUUGUAAACUUCUUUUAUAUGGGAAUAAAACGUUCCACGUGUGGGAUUUUGUAUGUACCAUAUGAAUAAGGAUCGGCUAACUCCGUGCCAGCAGCCGCGGUAAUACGGAGGAUCCGAGCGUUAUCCGGAUUUAUUGGGUUUAAAGGGAGCGUAGGUGGAUUGUUAAGUCAGUUGUGAAAGUUUGCGGCUCAACCGUAAGAUUGCAGUUGAAACUGGCAGUCUUGAGUACAGUAGAGGUAGGCGGAAUUCGUGGUGUAGCGGUGAAAUGCUUAGAUAUCACGAAGAACUCCGAUUGCGAAGGCAGUUCACUGGACUGCAACUGACACUGAGGCUCGAAAGUGUGGGUAUCAAACAGGAUUAGAUACCCUUGUAGUC
rnacentral:rRNA from 1 species